UACAGAGGGUGCGAGCGUUAAUCGGAAUUACUGGGCGUAAAGCGUGCGUAGACGGUUAUCUAAGUCAGAUGUGAAAUCCCCGGGCUUAACCUGGGAACUGCGUUUGAAACUGGAAGGCUUGAGUGUGGCAGAGGGGGGUGGAAUUCCACGUGUAGCAGUGAAAUGCGUAGAGAUGUGGAGGAACACCGAUGGCGAAGGCAGCCCCCUGGGCUAACACUGACGCUCAUGCACGAAAGCGUGGGGAGCAAACAGG
rnacentral:rRNA from 1 species